GCGAGCGUGGCGAAACUGGUAGACGCAAGGGACUUAAAAUCCCUCACCGCAAGGUAUACGGGUUCGAUCCCCGUCGCUCGCACCA
rnacentral:tRNA from 3 species